rnacentral:lncRNA from 1 species
CCGACGGCGGCCGCGGUCAUCUCGACUCCAGCAACUCCGGCUUCGGCGGAAUUCUGCACCAACAGAAUUGGCGCUAGAGGAAGGGGGGCUGUGUCUUCGCAGUAUCCUUGUUCUUAAAGGAGUGCUUAACGGGACUACCUCCGGUCAUCUUCUCCGACAUCCUCUUCUCCUUCUCCUACUAGAUCUCCACCUGAUGCCUCCCCGAAAUGCAUCCACCAGGCGAUCCACGGCCUCCGCGGUCAGAUCUCAGGCUCCGAUCUCGCCUCCAGUUUUCCAGGCUCCUCCUCCUCCGACAACGGCGAUCGACGUGGAGUAGUUCGACCUGCUGGUCCAACAGAUCAGAGGCCUCACCGAAGCAGUGCAGGCCAUGCAGCAGCAGCAGCAACAGCCACAGGCAUCAGUGCGGUUGGAAAGAGCAUCGUCGGAGUUUCAAAAUCCGGCAGUAGGGCGGGCCACUUGGGCCAGUCGCCCUGUCUUCCCCGAAAAGACGAAUUCGAGGGUGGAGAGCCCUCGGUCUGAUCACGAUUCUACUCUCGGAGGAUCUCUACCUCCAUUCUGUCAGAAGACCCUCGA